rnacentral:rRNA from 1 species
GAUGAACGCUGGCGGCGUGCCUAAUACAUGCAAGUCGAGCGAACAGACGAGGAGCUUGCUCCUCUGACGUUAGCGGCGGACGGGUGAGUAACACGUGGAUAACCUACCUAUAAGACUGGGAUAACUUCGGGAAACCGGAGCUAAUACCGGAUAAUAUAUUGAACCGCAUGGUUCAAUAGUGAAAGACGGUUUUGCUGUCACUUAUAGAUGGAUCCGCGCCGCAUUAGCUAGUUGGUAAGGUAACGGCUUACCAAGGCAACGAUGCGUAGCCGACCUGAGAGGGUGGUCGGCCACACUGGAACUGAGACACGGUCCAGAGUCCUACGGGAGGGAGCAGUAGGGAAUCUUCCGCAAUGGGCGAAAGCCUGACGGAGCAACGCCGCGUGAGUGAUGAAGGUCUUCGGAUCGUAAAACUCUGUUAUUAGGGAAGAACAAAUGUGUAAGUAACUAUGCACGUCUUGACGGUACCUAAUCAGAAAGCCACGGCUAACUACGUG